UCUCAGCACAGAAGGCUUUGACUUCGUAAUCCACACCACAGGCCUGUGGAGGAGGACAUGCUGACCCCAGGGCAAUUGGGAGGCAAGGUCCCAACUACCCUCCCAUCUUACCAACCAGAAUGCUGGGUUCUCAACUCAGCCUUGCCUCAGAAUCCUGGAGUCUCAGAAACAGGAAGAUGUGAGCUCCAGAAUCAUGCGGUCUUGGAAUGGUUAUAUUCAACACUGGCCCACGGAGAACUCUCUAGAAACCACUGCUGAAGCCGAGCACAGGUGAACCCCAGGUGAGCCCCAGGUGAACCCAGGGCCUUGGAAAAGUCAGUUCUGGAGAAGACACAAAUAGUGGAACAUCAGAAGACCUACAAGUUGUCCCCAAACAAGGCUGGAGAGGUAACGUAAUGGUUCUGCCCCAGGUCUUAAAGGAAGGGGCCUGGAUCAAAGCCAGCAUCUUCAGCUUGCAGCCCUGUCAACACCAACAGGCUCAGCCCCCGGGGCUUUGCUUACAUUCACGAAGCUCUUCUCUCUCUAUGAGCUAUGCUUUGGCUUCUUGACUCUGGCACAGCAAGGGUCCCUCUUAGUCCAAGGACAGUGUACAAGAGCACAGAAGCAUCUCUAAGACAAUUUCUGAGGCCAGUUUCUUCACCUGGCCUCAGUUUGCAUCAUUGUCAACCCCACCCCCUUUUUUUCAUGAUCAUCUUUAAAAAAAAAAUAAAUAACAAUCUGGGC